GGGUGGUAAUGCCGGAUGCUCCAGUUGACCGCAUGGUCCUCUGGGAAAGCUUUUGCGGUAUGGGAUGGGGUCGCGUCCUAUCAGCUUGAUGGCGGGGUAACGGCCCACCAUGGCUUCGACGGGUAGCCGGCCUGAGAGGGCGACCGGCCACAUUGGGACUGAGAUACGGCCCAGACUCCUACGGGAGGCAGCAGUGGGGAAUAUUGCACAAUGGGCGCAAGCCUGAUGCAGCGACGCCGCGUGCGGGAUGACGGCCUUCGGGUUGUAAACCGCUUUUGACUGGGAGCAAGCCCUUCGGGGUGAGUGUACCUUUCGAAUAAGCACCGGCUAACUACGUGCCAGCAGCCGCGGUAAUACGUAGGGUGCAAGCGUUAUCCGGAAUUAUUGGGCGUAAAGGGCUCGUAGGCGGUUCGUCGCGUCCGGUGUGAAAGUCCAUCGCUUAACGGUGGAUCCGCGCCGGGUACGGGCGGGCUUGAGUGCGGUAGGGGAGACUGGAAUUCCCGGUGUAACGGUGGAAUGUGUAGAUAUCGGAAAA
rnacentral:rRNA from 1 species